ensembl:snoRNA Gm22205 small nucleolar RNA SNORD113/SNORD114 family
AUGAUUGAUACUGUGCUCUGUUGACAUAUGAGUCACAUGGAUGACUACAUGUCUGGAACUUUGAGAUCUAC